rnacentral:lncRNA from 1 species
AAUGGUCGCACGUGUGCUUAAACCCUUUGAAAACCUUAGGGUAGAAAACAUGUUUAUAUCUGCCUGGGAAUUUUCCUGAUUGUUUUGCAGGUGAGGGUUUGGGUGCAUUGGAUUCUCCCUUCACAUACACACACUUUAUGCAUAUCAUGAGUGGGGCCCUAUACCCGGGUCUGAGUAUAGCUUAGAAAUAUAGGGGUUGUGUAGCGGUGCCACUUGGGAUAUUCUUCCUGUUUGGCUAUCGUGAGAACCCCAACUAGAGUCUGUUAUCUUCAUUUGUAUUUUCACACCUAGUUGAUUACUCGACUGUUGCGGAGAUGCUGUGGAGGGGACCAUAGCUCUAGUGACCUUUGAUCUUUAGGCUCAGGGAACCAUCCUUGUGAGAUUGCAUGUACUUGACCUUGAAUCCGAAGUAUUGAACCUUUUUUUUAGGGCACAAAGGGAGAUGUGUGCAGUCUUCUAACCCUCAUUUUCGCUUAAUAAAAUCACGCAUCUUUCAUAUAUCUUGAGUCACUUGUCUUUCUUGCAAAUCGUCAAAACUCUUGUUUUUCAAAAAUAAAAAAUGAUAAAUCAAAAACAAAAGUUGUAGUGUCAUACUUUUCCGAGGUCAAUUGUCUAAUAAAAAUAACAAUUUGAUGUUUCCCUUCUAGACAUUUGUGCACAUGUUGCUUGAAGACCUUCACCCUUCACUUUUCCAAAACAAAGGAUCUUUCCCAACAAACAUUGUCACUACCCUCAAUUACAAAGUAAACCUUUACACAGGGGUAGAUUGGCCUAACCAAAAGUUUUCUCGCUUGCGCUAGUAAGGUGAUCCCUGAAUCCAUUGGGACAAAAAAAAGAGGAAGAAAAAAACAAAGCAAGAAAAAAAUUCCACUAGAUUGAAAACCUGAAAGGGCUGUCUAGAAAGGAAAAAAAAAAUGAAUCAUGUUGAGGUCGUCUAGUCGCAGAAUUAAUCUUUUGAAAAUAAAGCAAUCAGAAUUUGAAAUGAUGUGUGGCCUUCUUUCUUUAUCCAAAAAGCAAAAAAUUAUAUCCAUUGUCACCCCGUUUGAGCCUAAAAUAAAUUCUUUUUCAAAAUUAUCCCAAGCAAGGGUUUCCAUCAGGUAGGAGUCAACUCAUGAUACAAAUGAAGAGCACUCAAUGAUUAAUCGAAGAGAAUUCAUCAAGAGUGAACAAAAAAUACACAAAAAACAAAAAAAAAAAUCAGAAAGUGAUGUUGAGAAAAAAACAAUGAAAAUCAAAGUUCAAGAAAAAACCAAAGUGCUCAAAAAGUCAAAAAGUUGAUGCAAUACUUAAAUGAUAACCCUUGUUUCAAAAAAUAUAACCAACAAACAUUCAUUUGGGCCUUUAUAUCCUUUUUUUAAAAUACCUUUUAGCCCUUAGCCACAUUACAAGCCUAAUAAAGUCCACGCAGAUUGAAUAAUGAUUGCUCAAAUUUUUAUAAAGCUUAAUUUUUCCAUAAGGCAAAAUGACUUUCAAUAUGUCGUAAAAAAAAAGAAAAGAAAAGAAUUUGAAAACGAAUGAAUAUAAAAAAAAAGGUAAUGUCUCAAGAAGAGGGGAUCUCCCUGUAACCUAGCCAGAAGCAUGCAAAAGAAAAUCAAACUAGUUGGGACCAUCCUUUUGGCCGAUCCUUGUCACGCCACUACCUCUUCCAAAUAGAACCCCGGGCCAAAGAAAACUGGGGCAACUUUGUGAACCUCACACGAGUCGUUCAUCAACCCAUACCACGAUAAAAAAAACUAGGGUAGCUUUGUGAGUCUCACACAAAUUUUUCAUCAAUCCAUAAUCCCAUUACCAGGGCAACUUUGCAAGUCUCACUUGAGUUUGUUUCACCCCAAUUUUCAUGGAUCCAAACCGAAGCUCAUUUUCCCAAACAAUUUUCUAGAACUAC